AACGAACGCUGGCGGCAGGCUUAACACAUGCAAGUCGAGCGAGACCUUCGGGUCUAGCGGCGGACGGGUGAGUAACGCGUGGGAACGUGCCCUUCUCUACGGAAUAGCCCCGGGAAACUGGGAGUAAUACCGUAAACGCCCUUUGGGGGAAAGAUUUAUCGGAGAAGGAUCGGCCCGCGUUGGAUUAGGUAGUUGGUGGGGUAAUGGCCCACCAAGCCGACGAUCCAUAGCUGGUUUGAGAGGAUGAUCAGCCACACUGGGACUGAGACACGGCCCAGACUCCUACGGGAGGCAGCAGUGGGGAAUCUUAGACAAUGGGGGCAACCCUGAUCUAGCCAUGCCGCGUGAGUGAUGAAGGCCUUAGGGUUGUAAAGCUCUUUCAGCUGGGAAGAUAAUGACGGUACCAGCAGAAGAAGCCCCGGCUAACUCCGUGCCAGCAGCCGCCGUAA
rnacentral:rRNA from 1 species